AUGUGUUAUCCGGCUUGUCAGAGGUUUUUGUUUGUUAACACAUUGAGGAAAGAAGUAGGAAGCCUACAAUGGAUGAAAUUAUGCAGAAAUGGAAGAGCUUAAAGUGUAAGUGGUAUAAUAACGUAUCGAUGUCUAAUCUUAUGCUUUUGUGGGAUCAAAUAAAGGCUGAUUGGGAGAGAAUCAGACCACAGUUUUUUGCCAAUGAAUCAUUCUAGAACAGGCUUAACCUGGAAUGUAGUUGUGGAGGUUAUUCAACCUCGUUUGACAAGGUCGUGCAACAGUUUGAUAGUUUUAAGUUUCCUAUCUGGGACAACUAUGCCAAGCUACAAAACAACCUGAAGACUCUUCUUUCUCUUAUGGACAGAGUAAUAGUUGAACAAAGUCAGUUGCGUGAUGAAUUCAACAAGUUGAAGAUUGAUCUCAUUGGACUCUGUGGUCUUUUGCCCGAGUACCCUAUAGUUAUCUCUGGUACUGAUGAUGAUGAGAUAUUUUGAGAAAUUGAGGAGUACUGUUCUGAUGAUGGUGAUGGUGCUUAGUUUUUGUAAUCCUUUUUUCAUGUUUUUAUGCUGUGCUUUUUUGUUUACUUCAGCAUAUUCAUUACAGAAUAUGCUAAAGUUAUUAAGUUCAUUUUCUAUAAAUUCAGCCUAGAGAUGAUGAAGUUUUUGUUUGUACAUGUAUUUCUUUUAUGAGCGGUCAGUGUAUGUGUGUGUGUGUGUGUGUAUGUGUGUGUGUGUUUGUUAAGGAUAUGUAUUUCACAUACUGUAAGCUUGAAGAAUUUUCUCGCUAAA